rnacentral:pre_miRNA from 1 species
GCCUGUUUAGGGUCGUCAAGCGGUCCCCGAUCUCUAUUCCACGGGCUUCCUUCGACAGAGCAA